AUAAUACUCCAUAGAUUAGAGAUACUGGAAUGUUCUUUAGUCAAAAGUUCCGGCGCCCUGGGAUGGAUCUGCGGCCGAUUAGGUUGUUGUUGGGGUAAUGGCCCAACAAGCCAGUAAUCGGUACGGGUUGUGGGAGCAAGAGCCCGGAGUUGGAUUCUGAGACACGAAUCCAGGCCCUACGGGGCGCAGCAGGCGCGAAAACUUUACAAUGCGGGCAACCGUGAUAAGGGAACCUCGAGUGCCUGUAAAUGCAGGCUGUUCAGAUGCCUAAAACACAUCUGGAGAAAGGGCCGGGCAAGACCGGUGCCAGCCGCCGCGGUAAUACCGGCGGCUCGAGUGGUGGCCACUUUUAUUGGGCUUAAAGCGUUCGUAGCUGGGUUGUUAAGUCUCUUGGGAAAUCUGGCGGCUUAACCGUCAGGCGUCUAAGGGAUACUGGCAAUCUUGGAACCGGGAGAGGUGAGGGGUACUUCGGGGGUAGGAGUGAAAUCCUGUAAUCUUCGAGGGACCACCUGUGGCGAAGGCGCCUCACCAGAACGGCUUCGACAGUGAGGGACGAAAGCUGGGGGAGCAAACCGGAUUAGAUACCCGGGUAGUCCCAGCCGUAAACUAUGCGCGUUAGGUGU
rnacentral:rRNA from 1 species